UGAGGUUAAGCGACUAAGCGUACACGGUGGAUGCCCUGGCAGUCAGAGGCGAUGAAGGACGUGCUAAUCUGCGAAAAGCGCCGGCGAGGUGAUAUGAACCCUUGACCCGGCGAUGUCCGAAUGGGGAAACCCAGUGCAAUCCGUUGCACUAUCGUUAACUGAAUACAUAGGUUAACGAGGCGAACCGGGGGAACUGAAACAUCUAAGUACCCCGAGGAAAAGAAAUCAACCGAGAUUCCCCCAGUAGCGGCGAGCGAACGGGGAGCAGCCCGGAGUCUGAAUCAGCUUGUGUGUUAGUGGAACGGUCUGGAAAGUCCGACGGUACAGGGUGAUAGUCCCGUACACGAAAGCACACAUGCUGUGAACUCGAAGAGUAGGGCGGGACACGUGGUAUCCUGUCUGAAUAUGGGGGGACCAUCCUCCAAGGCUAAAUACUCCUGACUGACCGAUAGUGAACCAGUACCGUGAGGGAAAGGCGAAAAGAACCCCGGCGAGGGGAGUGAAAAAGAACCUGAAACCGUGUACGUACAAGCAGUGGGAGCCUCUUUAUGGGGUGACUGCGUACCUUUUGUAUAAUGGGUCAGCGACUUAUAUUCUGUAGCAAGGUUAACCGUAUAGGGGAGCCGAAGGGAAACCGAGUCUUAACUGGGCGUUAAGUUGCAGGGUAUAGACCCGAAACCCGGUGAUCUAGCCAUGGGCAGGUUGAAGGUUGGGUAACACUAACUGGAGGACCGAACCGACUAAUGUUGAAAAAUUAGCGGAUGACCUGUGGCUGGGGGUGAAAGGCCAAUCAAACCGGGAGAUAGCUGGUUCUCCCCGAAAGCUAUUUAGGUAGCGCCUCGUGAAUUCAUCUUCGGGGGUAGAGCACUGUUUCGGCUAGGGGGCCAUCCCGGCUUACCAACCCGAUGCAAACUACGAAUACCGAAGAAUGUUAUCACGGGAGACACACGGCGGGUGCUAACGUCCGUCGUGAAGAGGGAAACAACCCAGACCGCCAGCUAAGGUCCCAAAGUCAUGGUUAAGUGGGAAACGAUGUGGGAAGGCACAGACAGCCAGGAUGUUGGCUUAGAAGCAGCCAUCAUUUAAAGAAAGCGUAAUAGCUCACUGGUCGAGUCGGCCUGCGCGGAAGAUGUAACGGGGCUAAACCAUGCACCGAAGCUGCGGCAGCGACGCUUAUGCGUUGUUGGGUAGGGGAGCGUUCUGUAAGCCGUUGAAGGUGUGCUGUGAGGCAUGCUGGAGGUAUCAGAAGUGCGAAUGCUGACAUAAGUAACGAUAAAGCGGGUGAAAAGCCCGCUCGCCGGAAGACCAAGGGUUCCUGUCCAACGUUAAUCGGGGCAGGGUGAGUCGACCCCUAAGGCGAGGCCGAAAGGCGUAGUCGAUGGGAAACAGGUUAAUAUUCCUGUACUUGGUGUUACUGCGAAGGGGGGACGGAGAAGGCUAUGUCAGCCGGGCGACGGUUGUCCCGGUUUAAGCAUGUAGGCGGAGGUUCCAGGUAAAUCCGGUACCUUUUAACGCUGAGGUGUGAUGACGAGGCACUACGGUGCUGAAGUGAUAAAUGCCCUGCUUCCAGGAAAAGCCUCUAAGCAUCAGGUAACACGAAAUCGUACCCCAAACCGACACAGGUGGUCAGGUAGAGAAUACCAAGGCGCUUGAGAGAACUCGGGUGAAGGAACUAGGCAAAAUGGUGCCGUAACUUCGGGAGAAGGCACGCUGAUGUGUAGGUGAAGCCCCUGCGGGCGGAGCUGAAAUCAGUCGAAGAUACCAGCUGGCUGCAACUGUUUAUUAAAAACACAGCACUGUGCAAACACGAAAGUGGACGUAUACGGUGUGACGCCUGCCCGGUGCCGGAAGGUUAAUUGAUGGGGUUAGCGGCAACGCGAAGCUCUUGAUCGAAGCCCCGGUAAACGGCGGCCGUAACUAUAACGGUCCUAAGGUAGCGAAAUUCCUUGUCGGGUAAGUUCCGACCUGCACGAAUGGCGUAAUGAUGGCCAGGCUGUCUCCACCCGAGACUCAGUGAAAUUGAACUCGCUGUGAAGAUGCAGUGUACCCGCGGCAAGACGGAAAGACCCCGUGAACCUUUACUAUAGCUUGACACUGAACACUGGUCCUUGAUGUGUAGGAUAGGUGGGAGGCUUUGAAGCGUGGACGCCAGUCUGCGUGGAGCCGACCUUGAAAUACCACCCUUUAAUGGCUGGUGUUCUAACGUAGACCCGUAAUCCGGGUUGCGGACAGUGUCUGGUGGGUAGUUUGACUGGGGCGGUCUCCUCCCAAAGAGUAACGGAGGAGCACGAAGGUUGGCUAAUCCUGGUCGGACAUCAGGAGGUUAGUGCAAUGGCAUAAGCCAGCUUGACUGCGAGCGUGACGGCGCGAGCAGGUGCGAAAGCAGGUCAUAGUGAUCCGGUGGUUCUGAAUGGAAGGGCCAUCGCUCAACGGAUAAAAGGUACUCCGGGGAUAACAGGCUGAUACCGCCCAAGAGUUCAUAUCGACGGCGGUGUUUGGCACCUCGAUGUCGGCUCAUCACAUCCUGGGGCUGAAGUAGGUCCCAAGGGUAUGGCUGUUCGCCAUUUAAAGUGGUACGCGAGCUGGGUUUAGAACGUCGUGAGACAGUUCGGUCCCUAUCUGCCGUGGGCGCUGGAGAAUUGAGGGGGGCUGCUCCUAGUACGAGAGGACCGGAGUGGACGCAUCACUGGUGUUCGGGUUGUCAUGCCAAUGGCACUGCCCGGUAGCUAAAUGCGGAAGAGAUAAGUGCUGAAAGCAUCUAAGCACGAAACUUGCCCCGAGAUGAGUUCUCCCUGAGACUUUAAGUCUCCUGAAGGAACGUUGAAGACGACGACGUUGAUAGGUCGGGUGUGUAAGCGCAGCGAUGCGUUGAGCUAACCGAUACUAAUGAACCGUGAGGCUUAACCUU
rnacentral:rRNA from 2 species